GACGAACGCUGGCGGCGUGCUUAACACAUGCAAGUCGAACGGAAAGGCCAUGCUUUUGUGGGUUGCUCGAGUGGCGAACGGGUGAGUAACACGUGAGUAACCUGCACUUGACUUUGGGAUAACUUCUGGAAACUGGGGCUAAUACCGGAUAGGAGAUCCUGCUGCAUGGUGGGGGUUGGAAAGUUUCGGCGGUUGGGGAUGGACUCGCGGCUUAUCAGCUUGUUGGUGGGGUAGUGGCUUACCAAGGCUUUGACGGGUAGCCGGCCUGAGAGGGUGACCGGCCACAAUGGGACUGAGAUACGGCCCAGACUCCUACGGGAGGCAGCAGUGGGGAAUAUUGCACAAUGGGCGGAAGCCUGAUGCAGCAACGCCGCGUGCGGGAUGACCGCCUUCGAGUUGUAAACCGCUUUCGCCUGUGACGAAGCGUGAGUGACGGUAAUGGAUAAAGAAGCACCGGCUAACUACGUG
rnacentral:rRNA from 1 species